CGGUGUUUAACUGGCGUGAUGUGGGACGUCCUACCGGUGGGCUUAGCCUCGCGAGGGGCGGCCCAACUAAUAUCCCGUCGCGGUGCUCUUUACUGAGUGUCGAGUCGGGCCGGUACGUUUACUUUGAACAAAUUAGAGUGCUUAAAGCAGGCUAUCCUCGCCUGAAUACUGCGUGCAUGGAAUAAUGGAAUAGGACCUCGGUUCUAUUUUGUUGGUUUUCGGAACCCCGAGGUAAUGAUUAAUAGGGACAGAUGGGGGCAUUCGUAUUGCGACGUUAGAGGUGAAAUUCUUGGAUCGUCGCAAGACGGACAGAAGCGAAAGCAUUUGCCAAAAAUGUUUUCAUUAAUCAAGAACGAAAGUUAGAGGUUCGAAGGCGAUCAGAUACCGCCCUAGUUCUAACCAUAAACGAUGCCAGCUAGCGAUCCGCCGAAGUUCCUCCGAUGACUCGGCGGGCAGCUUCCGGGAAACCAAAGCUUUUGGGUUCCGGGGGAAGUAUGGUUGCAAAGCUGAAACUUAAAGGAAUUGACGGAAGGGCACCACCAGGAGUGGAGCCUGCGGCUUAAUUUGACUCAACACGGGAAACCUCACCAGGCCCAGACACCGGAAGGAUUGACAGAUUGAUAGCUCUUUCUUGAUUCGGUGGGUGGUGGCGCAUGGCCGUUCUUAGUUGGUGGAGCGAUUUGUCUGGUUAAUUCCGAUAACGAACGAGACUCUAGCCUGCUAAAUAGGCGUACCUUAUGGUAUCGCGAAGGCCCCCGGCUUCGGCCGGUGGGUUUUUACUACCAACGUACAAACAAAUCUUCUUAGAGGGACAGGCGG
rnacentral:rRNA from 1 species